rnacentral:lncRNA from 10 species
CCAACAGGCAAACAAAAGCCACCUUCUUAGGCACUACCCUGGGCUCUGGAGACUGAGCAAGGAGCAGCAGAGGCCAGCUCAGGCCAAUUGCUUGCUGUCCUGAAACUUCCAUCCUAUCAGGGCAGGCAGCUAAGAAGCAAAUGGGGAAAAAAAAAUCCAAACAGGAAAAGGUCAGAUGGAAACAUCAAACAGAGUGACACGGUUGAGACUUCCAGGGAGAUGGGAGGGGGGUACUGUAGCAGGUAGUCAGGGAAGACUUCUUAGAGGAGGUGGUCUGGAACUAAGGCCUGACCAAGAGGCAAAGAUGAGGAAUCCCAACACUCACUUCUUUCAAGAGGCAAGGUGAAGGAUGGAGAAGCACGAUUUCUGCCUAGACUUGGCAGGUCCGAGCUUUGUAGGAACUAGCUAGCUUUGCUUUAGGGCCACAGGUAGGUAAACUGAGGUGAUGUGGUCUGUCUAGGGUUGCUCAAGAAGUCAGUGGCAAAGCCGGCCUAGAACUCUGGGUUUGGGCUCCGUGGGCAGUGCUCUUUCCAUGCUGUGUACCAUCCUGCCUCUCAGGAAAUGACUUCCUGAAUGCUUUUAUGGACCUCUGGCCGCACAAAGGAUGUGUCUCUGUGUCAGGCGGGUCUCAGGGAUUUCCAGAAGUCCUAAAAUGUGCAUGGUGCUAUGCCAGAAGCCACGAGGAGUGUGACAGUCCAAGCUAUGAGGGAUCUACACUCUCACAGGAAGAUGAAAGCAGCAGUAUCAGAGGGUGUGGGUGUGGAUGUGACAGUGUCCCAUCGUGCUGCUGAGAGAAGCGGUGGGUUGAAGGGGCUCCCGGGAGGAGAGGCCACGGCAGUUGGGCUGGGAGCUUAACUUCUCAUUUACUCACAGACAACUUCUCAGCCCGCAUUUCACCGGCCCCCCAGCCCCCAGCAUGGGGGCCCAGGGACAGGAGGAGGUCUUGGCACAGCUGGGGCUGGAGGCCUUUGCUUGAGCCCUGGGUUGAGGUGUCUUCGACCUGCAGAGAGGUCCCUGCCCAGGGUUCCUAUGGGACUAGCCCUGCCCCUGCUCACUUCUGUUCCUUGUUGCUGUGCCACCGCCCCCCACACCCCCCGGCUGGCUUUGAUGUUAGUCCCACUCAGCCUGGCCUCCUGCUGCGACGCCCCAGGAUGGCUCUCCAGCUCGCAGGGACUCUCCCUCUCUGUAUCACAGCCCAGAUCUGGCCUCCUGCUUGCUGGGCUGUGGCAGCGGGAUCACUCUGGGGCCCAGGGAGAGGUAACGAAGGAACAAGCACUUCUCUCUCCUGCUUCCAUGUGAAGAAGACGUGUUUGCUUCUCCUUCCAUCAUGAUUGUAAAUUUCUUGAGGCCUCCCCAACCGUGUGGAACUACUGUCCUGCUUGGGGAAAUGUCAGCUCCACCAGGGUAAAGAUUUUAUCUGCUUUUCUCCCUGCUAUAUCCUGAGUGCCUGGAACAGUGCCUGGCUUAGCACACAAGAAAUAUUUGUUGAAUGAAGACCAGCAAGGGGAGAACAUAGCCGCAAACUAUUUUAACAAAUAAUGCUUGUCUAAUGCCUGCAUUUUCCAAAGGCACUUUGACUCCCUAAUCACAUUCUACCUGCAGAACAACCGUGGGGGCUCAGUAGAUCCUGCGUGGUUAAUACCCCAUGCUGAAUUGUGUUCUCAAGUCAGGGCUUAGGAAACAGACAGAGAAAGGUUCAAAUCCUAGCUCUGUCACUUUCUCCGUGUGUCUCUGGAGAAUUUACUUAACCUCUGUAAGCUGCAAUUUUUUAAUCUAUAAAAAAAUGGAUAUACAUACCUUCCCUUGAAGGAUUUUAUGACAAUUAAAUGUGUUCUUAUAUGUGAAG